CCUACGGGAGGCUGCAGUGGGGAAUAUUGGGCAAUGGGCGCAAGCCUGACCCAGCAACGCCGCGUGAAGGAAGAAGGCCCUCGGGUUGUAAACUUCUUUUAUUCGGGACGAAACAAAUGACGGUACCGAAUGAAUAAGCCACCGCUAACUACGUGACAGCAGCCGCGGGAAUACGGAGGUGGCAAGCGUUAUCCGGAUUUACUGGGUGUAAAGGGCGUGUAGGCGGGAGAGUAAGGCAGACGUGAAAUUCCAGGGCUUAACCCUGGAACUGCGUUUGAAACUGUUCUUCUUGAGUGAGGGAGAGGCAGGCGGAAUGCGGGGUGUAGCGGUGAAAUGCAUAGAUAUAAGGAGGAACACCAGUUGCGAAGGCGGCCUGCUGGACAUUAACUGACGCUGAGGCGCGAAAGCGUGGGGAGCGAACAGGAUUAGAUACCCUGGUAGUC
rnacentral:rRNA from 1 species